rnacentral:lncRNA from 1 species
CUCAGGACGUUGCGCUUGCGAGGCAGAUGUGGAGCCACUGAGCUAAAUCCCCCGGCAUGAUCUAUUUGGAUUUUAGUUUAGUGUGUGGAACGUGGAGGUGUUCUAGUCCCCUCAAGUCUUCAACGCAAGUGAUAUUAUCAGUUAUUUGUUAUUCAUUAAAAUGCUUCAAAUUAUUCUACCUUGGCUGGCUAGAAACUCAUGAGUGUGGGAAGAUCAAACAUUGUUGGUCAAGAGCCAAAAUUAUCUUGGGCUAUCUCAGACCUUUUAAAAGCCAUUUACCUGGCAGAGGAGGCUUCCAGGCCAUUGUAACACCGCUCCCGGUGCAGAGGAGGCUUCCAGGCUGCCGUACCACUGCU